rnacentral:rRNA from 1 species
UACGUAGGGUGCAAGCGUUGUCCGGAAUUAUUGGGCGUAAAGAGCUCGUAGGCGGUUUGUCGCGUCUGCUGUGAAAUCCCGAGGCUCAACCUCGGGCUUGCAGUGGGUACGGGCAGACUAGAGUGCGGUAGGGGAGAUUGGAAUUCCUGGUGUAGCGGUGGAAUGCGCAGAUAUCAGGAGGAACACCGAUGGCGAAGGCAGAUCUCUGGGCCGUAACUGACGCUGAGGAGCGAAAGCGUGGGGAGCAAAUGGG